rnacentral:rRNA from 1 species
GACGAACGCUGGCGGCGUGCUUAACACAUGCAAGUCGAACGGAAAGGCCCUGCUUUUGUGGGCUGCUCGAGUGGCGAACGGGUGAUUAACCCGUGAGUAACCUGCCCUUGACUUUGGGAUCACUUCAUGCCACUUGGUCUAAUACCGCCUAGGAGCUCCUGCUGCAUGGUGGGGGUUGGAAAGUUUCGGCGGUUGGGGAUGGACUCGCGUCUUAUCCGCUUGUUGGUGGGGUAGUGGCUUACCAAGGCUUUGACGGGUAGCCGUGCUGGGAGGGGGACCGGCCAAACUGGGACGGGAAUACGACCCAGACUACUACGGGAGGCAGCAGUGGGGAAGAGUACAUAAUGGGCGGAAGCCUGAUGCAGCAACGCAGCGUGCGGGAUGACGGCCUUCGGGUAGUAAACCGCUGUCGCCUGUGACGAAGCGUGAGUGACGGUAAUGGGUAAAGAAGCACCGGCUAACUACGUG